AGAGCGAACGCUGGCGGCAUGCUUAACACAUACAAGUCGCACGGUUGGGGGGCAACUUCCGGCAGUGGCGGACGGGUGAGUAACGCGUAGGGAUCUAUCCAUGGGUGGGGGACAACCGCGGGAAACCGCGGCUAAAUACCGCAUGAUGCCUGAGCGAAGCG
rnacentral:rRNA from 1 species